AUGGAAAUGCUGCCUGCAUCCAUCCCUGGUCCUGCCUGUCUCCAUCCUGCCGUGGUCCUGUGUGUGUCCUGUCUGCACCUCAGCCUGGUCCUGCAGCUGAUCUUCUGGACUGACUUCAUUGAAUUCAUUAGUGGGUUCUUAGGCCAGGAGGAGGGAAGACCCUGCCUGAGCCCCAGGCCCAUCGCUGGAGGUGAGUAUUCUUCACCUGCCAUGAUGCUUUGGGGCCCUUUGGGAAGGUACAGGGGAUAUUUUAAGCAGUUUUGGGGACUUUUUUGCCUUUACUUCUUUUGCAGAAGGCUGGCAGCACCACUUGCAGCUGAGGAAUUAGCUCUCGGCGUCUUUAUCUAAGCACAUCAAUUUGGCUUUUCCUGAACUCAGUCCUGCAGGAGCACCUCACUGCUUCUCCCUCCAUGUAUAUAGUUAGGUAUUUUCCCACAUCCAAUUAAUCCAGCCCCUGCCUCAAUCCAUCCUGCCUUUCAUUCUGCUGCAAUAAAGCCUCUUUUGUUAGCGGUGUGCUGCUGGAUAUGCUCCUCUGUCAGGCUGGUGUGAAACAUCCCCACACCCUGCCAGGCAGGGACGCUCAUUACCCUCUUCUGCAAGCCUUAGUGCUGGGAAGGGCAAGGGAAGAGGUUCAUUAUAUUCUGAGCCUGAGCCUCCUGGAUGAGAGGCAGCCAGAGGGAAGGAGAGCUCAAGCAUUGCUGUGGUUAGAAAAAGUUGGGGCUGUAACCCCAGGAAUUGGGAUGGAUCUUGCUGGAGCAUCAUACCAGGGGUUUUUUAGCACUGUGUUACUGUGGCUGCAUCUCAGUUUGGCUACCCAAACCGGGCCCAAGAGACUCUGAACCUUUUUCUCCCCGUCAGGAACCCUUUAAGGCAAUCAAUGUUUUUUUUCCAUGGAUGACAUGUUUUAGCUCCAUUCUCUCCCCUCCUUUCCCUUCCCAACCCAGGGAUAAUGAAUCCAGACUGGCUGGAGUGUUCAGGUGCAUUCAGAGAAGGAGAUGAUUCUGUAGAGUUCCUCCUGUACCUGGUGAGGCUGAGGGUGUCCUGCCAGUGGGAUGUCAUUAGGCUUAGGGAGAUGAUAUUUGGAAAUGCAAUUCUUUCCUGGAUCCUCCUGCCAGCGGGUGUUUUCUCUGAAAGAUGCAACUGGGAUUGCAAUCACUGAGCUGGGCAUCACAUUAACUCUGCCCCAUUUGAGAUGUGUUGUGUUGUGCAAAAUGGGUCGUCACAGGGCAUUUGGAGAUGGGACAGCUUCUCAAAAGCCUUGAGGAAUACAACUCUUCUUCCUUUCCCAGCUGAGGCUGGUGAGCAGGUCAUUGCCAUCCCUCUCCUUUCCCUCCUGAUGGAUGCUGUGCUGUUCCAAGUUUAGCAUCAGUGGGUCUGUCAGAAAAAUUAAUUUUUUAAUUAAAAACAUUUUUUUUGGUGGUGCUUUAAUGUCUGGAUCUGGAGUAAUUAUUAGUAGCUCCAGGGAGACUGUGCUUUAGAAAAAUUGUUGGUGCUACUGCAAAGGAAUUUAUCUGAUUAACGUCAGCUUUCAUACGUGGCUGUCGUGGGGGAUGGAUGAGGGUGGGAGUCCUGCUGCUCUCAAGCAAACUGAUUAAUCAUGGAAAAUGAGGCAGGGCUCUGCAGGUGCUGAUUUUCCACCUCAGAGGUGGGCUGGGAGCAAGAGAGCUCCCUUGCCACCCCCUACCCUGCACACAGGUCCUGGGAUGUGGCUGGAACGAUCAGAGAGGUGAGUGAUGAGUUUGUCCCUAGCUGGAAUAAAGAGGCAAGAAAACACCAAAAGAGAGUGUGAGCAAAACCUUGGAAAUUCUUGCUCCCAUCCUGGGUGGGAAUGGAGGGGCUGCUACCACCCCGGGGCUGGGGAUGCUUGGGGAUGUCCCCAUCCAGCCUCUGCCCUGCUGUGGCUGCUUGCCCCAUUUUCCAUGGCCAAAAUCCUUCUCCCAGCCUAAGAUUCCCUGAGGGAAACAGCUUUUCUCCCAGCUUUUCCUUCUCAACUCCUUAUUUCCUUCCCAACUCCUCCCCAGUUCCACAGGUUUAUUCCUGUGCUGAAGUGUAAGCGUUUCUAUUCUUCCCAAAACUCCUGGCUCUAGAGGUUUUUGCUGGUUUAAUCCAUGUAGCCCUGGCUGUGCUGGUUGGUCCAGCUUUGGAUUCUCUUGGCUGGGGGAGAUAACUGGGCAAAGUGGUGUGAAGGCACCUGUUUGCUCAUCCAUCCUCCUUCUGCAAGCACCUCCUGGUGAUAGGGAUGGAUGGAUGGAUGGAUGGAUGGAUGGAUGGAUGGAUGGAUGGAUGGAUGGAUGGAAGAACUGAAGGGAGGGAUGCAACAGGAGGCUCUGGGCUGUGCAGAAGAAGGAGAGACCAACCCCUGCACUGCUCAGGACCCUCUUCCCCUCACAGAACCAGUUUACCCAAUUCCAUCAUAACAUUACCAGCUCUUUCCCUAAUAUUCUCUGCAGGCUCCAGCAGAUCCUGCCCUUUGUGCCCAAUUAACAGGCUGUACCCUGGAGAGUGGGAGGCA
rnacentral:lncRNA from 1 species